UACACAAAUAUGAAGGCGGGCUGGAACCUCUCGGGGUUACAGCCUUGCUGAAUUAUUCACCCUUGUCUUUUGCGUACUUCUUGUUUCCUUGGUGGGUUCGCCCACCACUAGGACAAACAUAAACCUUUUGUAAUUGCAAUCAGCGUCAGUAACAAAUUAAUAAUUACAACUUUCAACAACGGAUCUCUUGGUUCUGGCAUCGAUGAAGAACGCAGCGAAAUGCGAUAAGUAGUGUGAAUUGCAGAAUUCAGUGAAUCAUCGAAUCUUUGAACGCACAUUGCGCCCUUUGGUAUUCCAAAGGGCAUGCCUGUUCGAGCGUCAUUUGUACCCUCAAGCUUUGCUUGGUGUUGGGCGUCUUGUCUCUAGCUUUGCUGGAGACUCGCCUUAAAGUAAUUGGCAGCCGGCCUACUGGUUUCGGAGCGCAGCACAAGUCGCACUCUCUAUCAGCAAAGGUCUAGCAUCCAUUAAGCCUUUUUUUCAACUUUUGACCUCGGAUCAGGUAGGGAUACCCGCUGAACUUAAGCAUAUCAAUAAGCGGAGGAAAAGAAACCAACAGGGAUUGCCCUAGUAACGGCGAGUGAAGCGGCAACAGCUCAAAUUUGAAAUCUGGCUCUUUUAGAGUCCGAGUUGUAAUUUGCAGAGGGCGCUUUGGCUUUGGCAGCGGUCCAAGUUCCUUGGAACAGGACGUCACAGAGGGUGAGAAUCCCGUACGUGGUCGCUGG
rnacentral:rRNA from 1 species